rnacentral:rRNA from 1 species
AUCGAACGCUGGCGGCAGGCCUAACACAUGCAAGUCGAGCGGAUGAAGGGAGCUUGCUCCUGGACUCAGCGGCGGACGGGUGAGUAAUGCCUAGGAAUCUGCCUGGUAGUGGGGGAUAACGUCCGGAAACGGGCGCUAAUACCGCAUACGUCCUGAGGGAGAAAGUGGGGGAUCUUCGGACCUCACGCUAUCAGAUGAGCCUAGGUCGGAUUAGCUAGUUGGUGGGGUAAAGGCCUACCAAGGCGACGAUCCGUAACUGGUCUGAGAGGAUGAUCAGUCACACUGGAACUGAGACACGGUCCAGACUCCUACGGGAGGCAGCAGUGGGGAAUAUUGGACAAUGGGCGAAGGCCUGAUCCAGCCAUGCGGCGUGUGGGAAGAAGGUCUUCGGAUUGUAAAGCACGUUAAGUUGGGAGGAAGGGCAGUAAGUUAAUACCUUGCUGUUUUGACGUUACCAACAGAAUAAGCACCGGCUAACUUCGUG